GAUGAACGCUGGCGGCGUGCCUAAUACAUGCAAGUCGAGCGAACAGACGAGGAGCUUGCUCCUCUGACGUUAGCGGCGGACGGGUGAGUAACACGUGGAUAACCUACCUAUAUGACUGGGAUAACUUCGGGAAACCGGAGCUAAUACCGGAUAAUAUAUUGAACCGCAUGGUUCAAUAGUUAAAGACGGUUUUGCUGUCACUUAUAGAUGGAUCCGCGCCGCAUUAGCUAGUUGGUAAGGUAACGGCUUACCAAGGCAACGAUGCGUAGCCGACCUGAGAGGGUGAUCGGCCACACUGGAACUGAGACACGGUCCAGACUCCUACGGGAGGCAGCAGUAGGGAAUAUUCCGCAAUGGGCGAAAGCCUGACGGAGCAACGCCGCGUGAGUGAUGAAGGUCUUCGGAUCGUAAAACUCUGUUAUUAGGGAAGAAAAAAUGUGUAAGUAAAUAUGCACGUCUUGACGGUACCUAAUCAGAAAGCAACGGCUAACUACGUG
rnacentral:rRNA from 1 species